GUCUCUUGUUUUCUACAUCAACUUUACACAUAAGGGACAGCUUUAAAAGAAAAGCAAAUUCAAGAUGGAUUUAUUCAAGAAGAGGCAGGCUUUAGGAGAACAAAACAAGACAUCACCAGGGAAGACUGACUUUGUGUAUGCCAUCUUUUCAAACCUGAGAUUACAAAUUGUAGCAUACUUUGGAAGCAAGUAAUAGAAAAUUCGAUUCCAUCCCGAAAAUUUGAUUCCAUGCAUGAAAGCAGAAUGGGUGUCAGGGUUGGCUUAACUUACAGGAAUUGGGAAGAGUUUGUGUGCAGAAGUAGACUAGACUUUAGGGCAAGCUUAAU